UACGGGGGGGGCAAGCGUUGUUCGGAAUUACUGGGCGUAAAGGGCUCGUAGGCGGCCAACUAAGUCCGACGUGAAAUCCCCAGGCUUAACCUGGGAACUGCGUCGGAUACUGGAUGGCUUGAAUCCGGGAGAGGGAUGCGGAAUUCCAGGUGUAGCGGUGAAAUGCGUAGAUAUCUGGAGGAACACCGGUGGCGAAGGCGGUUCUCUGGGCCUUACCUGACGCUGAGGAGCGAAAGCGUGGGGAGCGAACAGG
rnacentral:rRNA from 1 species